GUAGGAUAGAGGCCUACCAUGGUUUUAACGGGUAACGGGGAAUUAGGGUUCGAUUCCGGAGAGGGAGCCUGAGAAACGGCUACCACAUCCAAGGAAGGCAGCAGGCGCGCAAAUUACCCAAUCCCGACACGGGGAGGUAGUGACAAUAAAUAACAAUACGGGGCUCAUUUGGGUCUCGUAAUUGGAAUGAGUACAAUUUAAAUCCCUUAACGAGGAACAAUUGGAGGGCAAGUCUGGUGCCAGCAGCCGCGGUAAUUCCAGCUCCAAUAGCGUAUAUUAAAGUUGUUGCAGUUAAAAAGCUCGUAGUUGAAUUUCGGGGUUAGUAGGUUGGUCAUGCCUCUGGUAUGUACUGGUCUCACUGAUUCCUCCUUCCUGAUGAACCGUAAUGCCAUUAAUUUGGUGUUGCGGGGAAUUUGGACUGUUACUUUGAAAAAAUUAGAGUGUUUAAAGCAAGCUAACGCUUGAAUACAUUAGCAUGGAAUAAUGAAAUAGGACGUUCGAUCCUAUUUUGUUGGUUUCUAGGAUUGACGUAAUGAUUAAUAGGGAUAGUUGGGGGCAUUAGUAUUCAAUUGUCAGAGGUGAAAUUCUUGGAUUUAUUGAAGACUAACUACUGCGAAAGCAUUUGCCAAGGAUGUUUUCAUUAAUCAAGAACGAAAGUUAGGGGAUCGAAGACGAUCAGAUACCGUCGUANUCUUAACCAUAAAUUAUGCCGACUAUGGAUCGGAUGAGUUAAUUUUUUAUGACUCAUUCGGCGCCUUAC
rnacentral:rRNA from 1 species